UUAGCUAAAACAGUUCAUAGGAGAUGAGUAUGCCAAGUUGCAGCAAGAUUAUACAAUUGGUCCUGACUUCAUGGGUACUGCUAGCAAAUCAACUGGAUGCCGUAAAUGAACAUUCUGUUGAUGAAAGUGUGCAAACAGUUUGCCCUGGAGAGUUGGUUUCUCUAAUUUGCACUCAUGACAAUGUUGCUGGUCAACAAACUCACUGGAUUGUCAGUGGCUCACAGCCUUGUGAUGAAUUUGUAAGCCACUUCACUGAUUCGACUGAAGACAUGUGUGGUUCGUUCAUUAUUACGAGGAUAGGUAAUACAGUUUCUACAUUAUAUUCAACUAUUCAAAUACCCGCCACUGAGGCACUGGACGAUACUUUGAUUAAAUGUUUUUCUGGAGGUCUUACAUCGUCCCCACAAGUUGGCAACACCACACUCAAUGUGAUAAGUCAGUGAAACAACAAGAUUUCAUGCUAGCCACACCAUAUCAACUUUAUAUAUAUACUUUCAACUGUUACAGAUCUAACUGUGUCUACUGUAACUGACUGGAUGGCUAACCUGAGAACCAACAGUUUAUGUCCUGUUCUGGAGUGGGACCCAGUGGACGCACCAUACCAGAGAUGUGUCAUCGGCUACACUAUCAACCUGAAUGGAACAGUGUACAAUACCACAAACACAUCUCUAUCAUUAGCUGGAGAGAGCCUCUCUUACUGUGAGACUCACACAGUGACUGUAACACCACUCACACUCAAUGGACUCUUAUCGCCAGAUACCUCAAAUAUCACAGUG